UUGCGAUCAUAUCAUGUUGAAACACCGGACCCCGUACGAUCACUGAAGUUAAGCCUUGUUAGUACCCAGAUAGUUGAUUGCUUGAGAAUACUAGGUGAUGUAAG